AUUGAACGCUGGCGGCAUGCCUUACACAUGCAAGUCGAACGGUAGCGGGCCUUCGGGUGCCGACGAGUGGCGAACGGGUGAGUAAUGUAUCGGAACGUACCUUUCAGUGGGGGAUAACGUAGCGAAAGUUGCGCUAAUACCGCAUAUUCUGUGAGCAGGAAAGCAGGGGAUCGCAAGACCUUGCGCUGAUUGAGCGGCCGAUAUCAGAUUAGCUAGUUGGGGAGGUAAAGGCUCGCCAAGGCGACGAUCUGUAGCGGGUCUGAGAGGAUGAGCCGCCACACUGGGACUGAGACACGGCCCAGACUCCUACGGGAGGCAGCAGUGGGGAAUUUUGGACAAUGGGGGCAACCCUGAUCCAGCCAUGCCGCGUGAGUGAAGAAGGCCUUCGGGUUGUAAAGCUCUUUCGGCCGGGAAGAAAUCGCACAGGCUAAUACCUUGUGUGGAUGACGGUACCGGAAUAAGAAGCACCGGCUAACUACGUGCCAGCCGCCGCAGUAACAC
rnacentral:rRNA from 1 species